AGAUUGAACGCUGGCGGCAUGCCUUACACAUGCAAGUCGAACGGCAGCACGGGAGCAAUCCUGGUGGCGAGUGGCGAACGGGGUGAGUAAUACAUCGGAACGUGCCCAAUCGUGGGGGAUAACGCAGCGAAAGCUGUGCUAAUACCGCAUACGAUCUACGGAUGAAAGCAGGGGACCGCAAGGCCUUGCGCGAGUGGAGCGGCCGAGUGGCAGUAGUUAGGUAGUUGGUAGAGGUAAAGGCUCGACCAAGCCUUGAUCUGUAGCUGGUCUGAGACGGACGACCGAGCCACGACGU
rnacentral:rRNA from 1 species